rnacentral:misc_RNA from 1 species
GAUGAAGAACGUAGUGAAAUGCGAUAAGUAAUGUGAAUUGCAGAAUUCAGUGAAUCAUCGAAUCUUUGAACGUACAUUGCGCCCCUCGGUAUUCCGAGGGGCAUGCCUGUUCGAGCGUCAUUAUAACCCUUCAAGCUCAGCUUGGUGUUGGGGCCUGCUGUAACUGGUAGCCCUUAAAAUCAGUGGCAGUGCUAUUAGGCUCUAAGCGUAGUAAUUCUUCUCGCUAUAGUGUGUAGUGAGCGCUUGCCAGAACCCCAAACUUUUAUAUGAUUGACCUCGGAUCAGGUAGGGAUACCCGCUGAACUUAAGCAUAUCAAUAAGCGGAGGA